UUUGGCAGAGACUUUCAGAGUCUAUCCCUGUACCAUUAUGGCACACUGGCUAUGGGAGUUACUUCUGCUGUCUGUGUGUUUUUCUGAGUGCAGAUCAAAGGACACAGUUGAUCAGCCAGAGUUAGUUCAAAUGGCUGUAGAGGGAGGAACAACAACUCUCAAAUGUACAUACAAAACAUCAGAUGGAUUCCCUUAUCUUUUCUGGUACCAAAAAAAGUCCAAUGACUUCCCCAGAUACAUGGUUAAAGUAUUCCGUUCUGGGUCUGGAUUUAAGUCUGAAGCUGAUAAGUUAUACGAGAGGAGAUUUCAUGCUGAACUCAAAGACUCCAGCGUUCCUCUGACCAUCCAGGAUCUGCAGGUGUCUGACUCUGCUGUGUACUACUGUGCUCUGCAGCCCACAGUGACAGCUGCACAUACAGCGCUCAUACAAAAAAACUCUGACUGAUUCAGCU